rnacentral:rRNA from 1 species
UUGACAUGCAGAGAACUUCCAGAGAUGGAUUGGUGCCUUCGGGAACUCUGACACAGGUGCUGCAUGGCUGUCGUCAGCUCGUGUCGUGAGAUGGUUGGGUUAAGUCCCGUAACGAGCGCAACCCUUGUCCUUAGUUACCAGCACGUUAUGGUGGGCACUCUAAGGAGACUGCCGGUGACAAACCGGAGGAAGGUGGGGAUGACGUCAAGUCAUCAUGGCCCUUACGGCCUGGGCUACACACGUGCUACAAUGGUCGGUACAAAGGGUUGCCAAGCCGCGAGGUGGAGCUAAUCCCAUAAAACCGAUCGUAGUCCGGAUCGCAGUCUGCAACUCGACUGCGUGAAGUCGGAAUCGCUAGUAAUCGUGAAUCAGAAUGUCACGGUGAAUACGUUCCCGGGCCUU